rnacentral:rRNA from 1 species
GACAGAGGGUGCAAACGUUGUUCGGAAUUACUGGGCGUAAAGCGUGUGUAGGCGGCUUUGCAAGUCGGAUGUGAAAGCCCCGGGCUCAACCCGGGAAGUGCACUCGAUACUGCGAAGCUUGAGUGUCGGAGAGGUUGUGGAAUUCUCGGUGUAGAGGUGAAAUUCGUAGAUAUCGAGAGGAACACCGGUGGCGAAGGCGGCCAACUGGACGAAACACUGACGCUGAGACACGAAAGCGUGGGGAGCAAACAGG